rnacentral:tRNA from 1 species
GGGCGCAUAGUUUAACGGACAGAACUUUCGGCUUCGGACCGGAAAAUGGGGGUUCAAUUCCUCCUGUGCCCA